GGUUCGAUGGUGUAAUGUUUAGCGCAUUGGACUCUGAAUCCAGAGAUCCGGGUUCAAAUCUUGGUGGAACCU
rnacentral:tRNA from 1 species